rnacentral:rRNA from 1 species
CCUACGGGGGGCAGCAGUGAGGAAUAUUCGUCAAUGGCCGGAACGCUGAACCAGCCAUGCCGCGUGAAGGUCAGUGCCCUAUGGGCCUUAAACUUCUUUUGUACGGGAGCAAUAAUGGUCACGUGUGGCCAGACGUGAGUACCGUAAGCAUAAGCAUCGGCUAACUCCGUGUCAGUAGCCGCGGUAAUACGGGGGAUGCAAGCGUAAUCCGUAUUUAUUGGGUUUAAAGGGUGCGUAGGCUGGGAGGUAAGUCAGCGUUGAAAUGCCCCUGCUCAACGGGGUGAAGUGCCAUUGAUACUGCCUUGCUGGAAUGCGGAUGCCGUGGGAGGAAUGUGUGGUGUAGCGGUGAAAUGCAUAGAUAUCACACAGAACACCGAUUGCGAAGGCAGCUCACGAAUCCGCGAUUGACGCUGAUGCACGAAAGCGUGGGUAUCAAACAGGAUUAGAUACCCUAGUAGUC